UACGGAGGGUGCAAGCGUUAUCCGGAUUCACUGGGUUUAAAGGGUGCGUAGGCGGGCAGGUAAGUCCGUGGUGAAAUCUCUGAGCUUAACUCAGAAACUGCCAUGGAUACUAUUUGUCUUGAAUAUUGUGGAGGUAAGCGGAAUAUGUCAUGUAGCGGUGAGAUGCUUAGAUAUGACAUAGAACACCAAUUGCGAAGGCAGCUUACUACACAGUUAUUGACGCUGAGGCACGAAAGCGUGGGGAUCAAACAGG
rnacentral:rRNA from 1 species